rnacentral:rRNA from 1 species
UACGGAGGAUCCAAGCGUUAUCCGGAUUCAUUGGGUUUAAAGGGUGCGUAGGCGGAAUGAUAAGUCAGUGGGGAAAGCCUGCAGCUUAACUGCAGAACUGCCAUUGAUACUGUCAAUCUUGAGUACAUUUGAUGUGGGCGGAAUGUGUCAUGUAGCGGUGAAAUGCUUAGAUAUGACACAGAACACCGAUUGCGAAGGCAGCUCACAAAACUGUAACUGACGCUGAGGCACGAAAGCGUGGGUAUCAAACAGG